GUAUAUGAGGUGAUUAAUUGGAGGGCAAAUCAAGUGCCAGCAGCCGCGGUAAUACUUGCUCCAAGAGUGUGUAUGAUGAUUGAUGCAGUUAAAAAGUCCGUAGUUUAUUUUUUUAAGAAGCAAUAUGAGGUGUACUGUAUAGUUGGGAGAAAGAUGAAAUGUGACGACCCUGACUGGACGAACAGAAGCGAAAGCUGUACACUUGUAUGUAUUUUUUGAACAAGGACGUAAGCUGGAGGAGCGAAGAUGAUUAGAUACCAUUGUAGUUCCAGCAGUAAACCAUGCCGACGAUGUGAUAUCGAAAUGUUAAUUUGUAUUACAUAAUAGAAAUUUGAGUUUUUUGGCUCUGGGGAUAGUAUGAUCGCAAGAUUGAAAAUUAAAGAAAUUGACGGAAGAAUACCACAAGGAGUGGAUUGUGCGGCUUAAUUUGACUCAACGCGAGGUAGCUUACCAAUAUUUUAUUAUUUUGAGAGAACGGUUUUUUGUUUGAGAAUGAUAAUAGUGGUGCAUGGCCGUUUUCAAUGGAUGCUGUGAAGUUUCGAUUAAUUUCAACAAGACGUGAGACCCUUAUUUUUUACUAAAGACAGACACAAUCAGUGUAGGAAGGAAAGGAUUAAAACAGGUCCGUUAUGCCCUCUGACAUUUUGGGCUGCACGCGCAAUACAAUAGAUAUA
rnacentral:rRNA from 1 species